rnacentral:snoRNA from 1 species
UGUUGUCUUGCUGUGAUGACUCGCUAAAAGCAUAGUUCAUUUGAAAAUGGAUUUACUACCCAUUGCUGUUGCCCAAUUCUUUCGCUCCUAUCUGACCAAAGACACAC